rnacentral:tRNA from 1 species
ACGGGCGUAGUAUAAGGGUAGUACAAAGGUCUCCAACACCUUUAGUCUGAGUUCGAAUCUUAGCGCCCGUG